AUACGGAGGAUGCGAGCGUUAUCCGGAUUUAUUGGGUUUAAAGGGUGCGUAGGCGGAGGAUCAAGUCUGUGGUGAAAGGUUCGGGCCCAACCUGGAUCGUGCCAUGGAAACUGGUUGCCUUGAAUAGAGGUGCCGUUGGCGGAAUGCGUAGUGUAGCGGUGAAAUGCUUAGAUAUUACACAGAACACCGAUUGCGAAAGCAGCUGACGAACCACCGAUUGACGCUGAUGCCCGAAAGUGCUGGUAUCGAACAGGAUUAGAUACCCUGGUAGUCCGCACAGUAAACGAUGACAACUGGCUGUUGGCGAUACACCGUUCAGUAGCGUAGCGAAAGCGUUAAGUUGUCCACCUGGGGAGUACGACCGCAAGGUUGAAACUCAAAUGAAUUGACGGGG
rnacentral:rRNA from 1 species